GGGGGACUUUUCCCCGGGUUUUCCGCGCCCGUAGGUAAACGCAUUAAAGCGCCCCCGCCUGGGGGAGGACGGCCCGCAAAGGCUAAAACUCAAAAGGAAUUGACGGGGGGCCCGCACAAGCGGCGGAGCAUGUUGCUUAAUUUGACGCAACGCGAAGAACCUUACCAAGGUUUGACAUCACCCGUGGACUCGCAGAGAUGUGAGGUCAUUUAGUUGGCGGGUGACAGGUGGUGCAUGGCUGUCGUCAGCUCGUGUCGUGAGAUGUUGGGUUAAGUCCCGCAACGAGCGCAACCCUUGUUCCAUGUUGCCAGCACGUAAUGGUGGGGACUCAUGGGAGACUGCCGGGGUCAACUCGGAGGAAGGUGGGGAUGACGUCAAGUUAUCAUGCCCCUUAUGUCUUGGGCUGCAAACAUGCUACAAUGGCCGGUACAAUGGGCGUGCGAUACCGUAAGGUGGAGCGAAUCCCUAAAAGCCGGUCUCAGUUCGGAUUGGGGUCUGCAACUCGACCCCAUGAAGGUGGAGUCGCUAGUAAUCGCGGAUCAGCAACGCCGCGGUGAAUACGUUCCCGGGCCUUGUACACACCGCCCGUCACGUCAUGAAAGUCGGCAACACCCGAAAUUUGCGGCCUAAC
rnacentral:rRNA from 1 species